rnacentral:rRNA from 1 species
AUGAAAGGUUUGGGGCUUGACAGCAUGCUUCCUGAAGAGAUUGGUAACUUGACGAGCUUGGAGGAGCUCCAUCUCAACUCUGUUACUUUGACUGGAUCAAUCCCACCAACAAUUGGGAUGCUCACGAAGCUCCGCACACUGAGCAUGAGGUACAACAAUCUGACAGGGAGCAUCCCGCUUGAGAUUGGAAACAUGACGGAACUGCAGGAGUUGUACUUUUCGAAUAACUAUUUGGAAGGACAGCUACCAGGUACAAUAUCUCAUUUGAUUAAACUCCAGUAUUUGCAUCUAUCAGUGAACCAGUUCCGGGGCCACAUUGCCCCUGAGCUUGGGAAUAGCAGCUUCUUGGACACGGUCGAUGUUCAGAUGAACAACUUCUCUGGGUUGUCCAUUUGUGUAGGAGGAGCACUGACUUCUGUCAGUGCUGGACACAAUUGA